rnacentral:tRNA from 1 species
UCCGUAGUGGUCCAGCGGUUAAGACUCAGCUCUGUCACUGCUUAGGGCCCAGGUUCAAUCCCUGGUCAGGGAA